rnacentral:rRNA from 1 species
GAGUGAACGCUGGCGGUAGGCCUAACACAUGCAAGUCGAACGGCAGCACAGUAAGAGCUUGCUCUUAUGGGUGGCGAGUGGCGGACGGGUGAGGAAUACAUCGGAAUCUACUUUUUCGUGGGGGAUAACGUAGGGAAACUUACGCUAAUACCGCAUACGACCUACGGGUGAAAGCAGGGGACCUUCGGACCUUGCGCGAUUGAAUGAGCCGAUGUCGGAUUAGCUAGUUGGCGGGGUAAAGGCCCACCAAGGCGACGAUCCGUAGCUGGUCUGAGAGGAUGAUCAGCCACACUGGAACUGAGACACGGUCCAGACUCCUACGGGAGGCAGCAGUGGGGAAUAUUGGACAAUGGGCGCAAGCCUGAUCCAGCVCAUACCGCGUGGGUGAAGAAGGCCUUCGGGUUGUAAAGCCCUUUUGUUGGGAAAGAAAUCCAGCCGGCUAAUACCUGGUUGGGAUGACGGUA